CAAUGCAAAGGCCAACAACAACAUUUACACUUCUUAUGACUUUUUGUUUUUUUUAAAAAUGAAAUGUCUUACAAAUAAAAAUUUAAAAUAACAGAAAUAAUGUAUAGUAUAAAGCACUGUUGAGAAUGCUACAAAGUCAUCUUUAAUUCAGGUCUACCUGAAUUCAGUGACUUAACUGCUUAGCCUGGUAAGGAAAUGUUAACCCUCUCUUCUGAAAAACAUUAAGGAAGCCUUCGUUUAAUUCAAGAUGAGAGUCAGACCCACAAGGCCCACUUCUGUAACUCCCAGACCUGCCCCUGCCUCCCUCCCAGCCCUGAAUAAUGUAAUGUAAGAAGAAUUGUGCCUUCUGGGACUGAGUGUCUUUAAGACAAGUACCCUAAUUCUGGCCCAAAAAGAAAUAUUAAGAAUAUAUUCCCAUCAUCUCAGGAGGAGUUGGUGCAGCAUAAGAUGUGGGGAGAGAAACUGCCACUGGAUCUUUCAUGUUUAUCUAGCCACAAUAUAUUGGGAAUGGUCCACAUGUUUUUUUAAAAAAAUGGAACAAAGUACAUGGUAAACAUAUCUUCCACCAGAAAGAUAAUCAUGACAUAUACCAUUAAAUUCUGAUUUCUGGCCACCCUUUUCGGGGCUUUCUAGGUAGAGAAUACUCAGAAGUGGUUUACCAUUCCCUCCUCC